GCACUCUCUUUGGCAGCACAUAUACUAAAGUUUGAAUGAUACAGAGAAGAUUAGCAUGGCCCCUGCAUGCAGAUGACACACAAAUUUAUAAAACAUUCCAUAUUAAU
ensembl:snRNA U6 U6 spliceosomal RNA